rnacentral:rRNA from 2 species
UACGGAGGGUGCAAGCGUUAUCCGGAUUCACUGGGUUUAAAGGGUGUGUAGGCGGGUUAUUAAGUCAGUGGUGAAAUCUCCGGGCUCAACCCGGAAACUGCCAUUGAUACUAUUAGCCUUGAAUUCUGUUGAGGUGGGCGGAAUAUGUCAUGUAGCGGUGAAAUGCAUAGAUAUGACAUAGAACACCAAUUGCGAAGGCAGCUCACUAAACAGCGAUUGACGCUGAGGCACGAAAGCGUGGGGAUCAAACAGG